GUAAACAACCCAACAAGCUCUUUAACGAUGAUGGAUAAUAGAAGUUUCAAAGAUACUGAAUCACCAACUAUAAUUCAAAUAUUCAAUAGCCCUAACUAAAAGAGGAGAAAAGUGACAGCUUAAUAAGAUUAUCAUUCAGAAUCUUGUACAGACUGACAAACGGGGAGGUAAUACGUAUCAAGCUGCCAAUACUUUUGUCUCACACCUUCCCAAACUUCUUUCUCCAAACAAUCCUUAACAGGCAAGGGAAUUAACUGUGUGUGGUAGCCCAAAUUUUCUAGUUCUAGAGAAACUAAAUUACAGUAAACAACAUGGAAAAAUGCAUUACCUCCACAAAGUCCAUUGAAGAAUGAGUAUAUUCCUCCAGGCUUCAAUAACUCAGGAAGGCGUUGGUGGAACCCUCUCAGAUCCUCAUAAUACUCUCCAUAUGUGUCAAAGAAAAUACCAUCAUAAGUUUCAAGCUGAGAAAGAACAUCUUGCCACCGGCCAAAAAUUAUCUUUACAUUAUCUUUCUUGCCCCAACCAGCGCCAAGCAUCCUUUCAUAGACCUCUGGAUGCGCCUCUACGAUUGUGUGAGUAGUUGGAUUGUAUUGUUGAAUAGCUGUAUCCACAAGGCCCAUUCCAAACCCAAUGUUUAGUAUGUGGCCACCUCCUGAGCAAACAGCCUUGGCAUGUGCCUCCAUUAGUGGUUUCUCCCAGGCCAUCAUGACAGCUUUGCUAUCAGAGUCCAUCAGCUUAUCCUCGCUGAAAGUAACCCUAUCUUCCAAGUAAUCCCCAUUAGCAUGGCCAUUUUCAUUCUCCUUCCUUGCAAUGGUUCCUAAGAUCAACUCAGAUUGAAUUCCAGCAUUGAGGAGAAUUUCGAAGGCCUCCUGGUGACCUUCCUCCAUGGCUAAAUCGCCAGCGGAGAUAUUAGAAGGAGAGAGUGCGUUCCAGGGGGCACCGGCUUCCAGAAGCGCCUUGACGACGGCGGCGUGGCCGAGCUUGGCCGCGUGCAUGAGCGGAGUGAAGCCGUCGUUGCCAAAGUAGGAAAUGUCGGCUCCGGAGUUUAUGAGAGCUGUCACCUUUUCUAUGUCACCGUUCCUCGACGCCUCGCAAAGGAGUUCGCACUCGUCCAUGACUGCACUUCAGCUUGAUUGACACAGUGAAACCCUGCCUGCUCUGCACUGUCCAGC
rnacentral:misc_RNA from 1 species